rnacentral:misc_RNA from 1 species
CCAGGGGAUAAAUCUCUAGUAAGCCUUCCUACUAGAUUAUGUUUGAGAUUCAUAAAACUGAAAGUAGAACCAAUUUUCUUGGAUUUUGCAUACAGCUGCUUAAAAGGGGAUCAGUCUCUGGUAAAUGGUUAUUUUAUUUUAUUUUAUUUUUAACCAAUGGUAAACUGUUAUUUGACUUACUGUUCCCUGCUCUUAAAUGACUGAAUUUUGCUGAACUGGGAAAAAGAUGAAUGUAGUGCUGCC